CGUGUAGGCGGUAAUGUAAGUCAGACGUGAAAUCCUUUGGCUCAACUGAAGAACUGCGUCUGAAACUGCAUGACUAGAGUGCAGAAGAGGGAAACGGAAUUCCAGGUGUAGAGGUGAAAUUCGUAGAUAUCUGGAGGAACACCGGUGGCGAAGGCGGUUUCCUGGUCUGACACUGACGCUGAGGCGCGAAAGCGUGGGGAGCAAACAGGAUUAGAUACCCUGGUAGUCCACGCCGUAAACGGUGGGUACUGGGUGUGGGGAGGUGUAAUGCCUUCUGUGCCGAAGCUAACGCGUUAAGUACCCCGCCUGGGGAGUACGGCCGCAAGGUUGAA
rnacentral:rRNA from 1 species